UACAGAGACUGCAAGCGUUAUUCGGAUUCACUGGGCGUAAAGGGCGCGCAGGCGGUCGGGUGUGUCAGAUGGGAAAUCCCGAGGCUCAACCUCGGAACUGCGUCUGAAACUACUCGACUAGAGUACUGGAGAGGGUAACGGAAUUCACGGUGUAGCAGUGAAAUGCGUAGAUAUCGUGAGGAACACCAGAGGCGAAGGCGGUUACCUGGACAGUUACUGACGCUCAGGCACGAAAGCAUGGGGAGCAAAAGGG
rnacentral:rRNA from 1 species